AUUGAACGCUGGCGGCAUGCCUUACACAUGCAAGUCGAACGGUAACGGGCCUUCGGGUGCCGACGAGUGGCGAACGGGUGAGUAAUACAUCGGAACGUGCCCGAUCGUGGGGGGUAACGAGGCGAAAGCUUUGCUAAUACCGCAUACGAUCUACGGAUGAAAGCAGGGGACCGCAAGGCCUUGCGCGGGCGGAGCGGCCGAUGGCAGAUUAGGUAGUUGGUGGGAUAAAAGCUUACCAAGCCGACGAUCUGUAGCUGGUCUGAGAGGAUGAUCAGCCACACUGGGACUGAGACACGGCCCAGACUCCUACGGGAGGCAGCAGUGGGGAAUUUUGGACAAUGGGCGCAAGCCUGAUCCAGCCAUGCCGCGUGCAGGAUGAAGGCCUUCGGGUUGUAAACUGCUUUUGUACGGAACGAAAAGCCUUCUUUUAAUACAGGAGGGUCAUGACGGUACCGUAAGAAUAAGCACCGGCUAACUACGUG
rnacentral:rRNA from 1 species